CGUAGGCGGUUUUUUAAGUCUGAUGUGAAAGCCCACGGCUCAACCGUGGAGGGUCAUUGGAAACUGGAAAACGUGAGUGCAGAAGAGGAAAGUGGAAUUCCAUGUGUAGCGGUGAAAUGCGCAGAGAGAUGGAGGAACACCAGUGGCGAAGGCGACUUUCUGGUCUGCAACUGACGCUGAUGUGCGAAAGCGUGGGGAUC
rnacentral:rRNA from 1 species